UCACGACCUCUCGAUCUCCUCUCCUGUAGGCGUCGUCCGCCGCCGCCGCUGGUCUCCUGGUCCAAGGGUCGCCGCCUCUAUGGAGACGAGGAGGGCGGGGCCUCUCCACCUCCGGUCACUGCAGCCGUGAUGUUGCUUUUGUUGUACUUUUUUAGAUGGCUUUGUUUUCUGUUUCUUUGGAUCAAUGUAUGUGUUAUGUAUUACUCCGGUGUUCAAGUACAACAUGUAUUCUCUGAAAAUAGUUGGAUCUGAAGAGAUUUCGAAUGUAUUUUGAUUCUUGUUGGCGGAUCUUUGGGCGGUGGUGGGUGCAUGCCUGGUGCCUAGGGUUAUUUUUUUUUAAUUCAGACAAAACACACCAGUGGCGGUGGUUUUUGCCCGCCGGUAGAAGUAGCAGCACCAAUUGCGUCGGUUUUGCCCGCCACUUGAGGCAAAGCACCAGUGACGCAGGAUUAGUAGC
rnacentral:lncRNA from 1 species